GCAAGUCGAACGGUAACAGCAGAGCUUGCUCUGGCUGACGAGUGGCGGACGGGUGCGUAACGCGUGGGAAUCUACCUUAUAGUGGGGGAUAGCCCGGAGAAAUUCGGAUUAAUACCGCAUAAUCUCUACGGAGAAAAAGGGGCCUCUCCUUGGAAGCUCUUGCUAUUAGAUGAGCCCGCGUUAGAUUAGCUUGUUGGUGAGGUAAUGGCUCACCAAGGCGACGAUCUAUAGCUGGUUUGAGAGGAUGAUC
rnacentral:rRNA from 1 species